rnacentral:snRNA from 1 species
UAAUUUAGGGCGAUCUGGCUGCGACAUCUGUCACCCCAUUGAUCGCCAGGGUUGAUUCGGCUGAUCUGGCUGGCUAGGCGAGUGUCCCCUUCCUCCCUCACCACUCCAUGUGCGUCCCUCCCGAAGCUGCGUGCUCAGUGGAAGAGGACGACCAUCCCAGAUAGAAGGAGUGUACCGUUCUUCAGUCAAGGGUAUACGAUAGCUGCGCUCCCCUGCUAGAACCUCCAAACAAGGUCCAUUUGUAGGAAAACAUAGGGUAGUCAAGUUUCCAAUUUUUUUUUAAAAAAAACUAACUCCUUU